UACUGCAUUGGAGGCUUUGCUGCAGGUGGUGGACAGGAGGCAAGAGGCUCUCCAGGCAAGCUCUCAGAAAGCAGUGGGACCAGAUAGCCAUUACGGUCAAUGCAAGCAAUGUCGCCCCUGAGGACUGGAUGCAGUGCUGCAUGAAGUUCAAUGAACUCACAUAAAUGAUCAAGGGCAAUGUGGUGUGUUACUGACAGCAUAGGGUCAUGCAGAGCUGCAUGUCCUCACCCCCGUGGAGGAGACUGUGUUGACCAUCACUGGAGUAUCCACGUCUGAGAUGCUGGCCAGUGGCGGAGCUGAAGCCAUUGCAGAUGACAGCACCCCUACCCUUGUACCUUUCUCCUUUCAGAUACCCAAUAUCUCUGUCUGAUCAGGACAGGGUGCAGGAGCCAGAAGUGGAAGAGAAAGAAGAGGCUGAUGAGGAAGAAACACUGUCACUCGCUCUGACACUUGUAGCCACCAGUUCAGAAACUGACACUGCACGUACUGUAGAGGAUAGCUUAAAGAUGGAACUGCACUCAAUGAGACACUGGACAUGAGUGAUCAGCAGGAAAGGGCAGUGCACGUGCCAGCUUGCCAGAGGAUGAGGCCAUACAUGAAUUUUGUUGCAGAGAACUCAGGUGAUGACUUUGAUAGGGCAGUCUACAGAAACAGCCUGAUGGGUAUACACAGUGAAAUGCUUCGUUCACCUGCAGGCCUCUCAGAGAGCCUGCAGUCACUGUCAAGGACACAGAGGAAUCCCACACCAGCCUGUAGAACACUUUGCACUGACCUUGAAACCAAUUCUUUCUAACAUAGAGGUGGUGGCCAACUCAAUGGGAACACCUGCGGACCAAACCAUGAUUCAACAUCUGUCUCAGCUUCCAAUUCAGCAUAAACAGAACCACACUGAGCACUGCAAUGGAAGCUCAGACUGAAAUCAUGUAAGCUCAGGCCACUGCCACUGUGGCUGUAGGUACCUUUCUCAAAGGGGCUUGCAAGCCCCCGCAGCAGGCCAGCAAUUUGCCAUUCAGCACAUUAUUAGGAUCACUGAGGUGUCACCCCAGCAAACUGGUAGUAGCUCCAUGGAGAACUAAUCUGCUGUCCUCUCUCAAGAAGACAGCAUUUGUCCUCCCACCAUAAGUGCUCUUGCUAUUGGCUGUAAUCCAACCAUCCCGGACAGCUGGUGCCCAUGCUGAAGUGGUCCAGUCUGAAGCUGGGCCGACUAUACCCAGAGCUGCAUGAGGUUGUACUGCAAGUUCAUUGCCAGUCUCCCCCAUUGAAAGCCAGCAGCCUUCCACUAGUCAUGCUGCAGUCGCUGGGUGAGGCUGCAAAGGAGCACUAGGCCAGGCAAAGGCACCCAUAGGGCUGACACUUAGGAA